ensembl:lncRNA
CUGGAGACGCGGUGCGGCUACGUCGGAAGCUCAGCUCAACCCGAGCCGGACGACCGGGCUUCUCGGGCGAGAGUCUUCCGCCCGGGGCCCCGCGGAGCCUGGAGGCGCCGAAGCAAUGCGGCCGGCUCCCCAGCUCUGCGCCGGGACGCGUGGCGCCCGGCUCCCCGCCCGCCGCGGGCUACGCCACUCCCACCUCUACACACGCGACCCCCGCCGCGCGCAGCACGCGCGCGCAGGGCCGGCCGCCGCUCCGGCUGAGUCAACACCCGACUGUGGAAGCUGGCGGCGUAGCCGCUCGGGAGCAAGCCCGCCUCGCCUCGCCUCGCCUCGCCGCGCGCACCCCUAGCGGCCCCCGAAGAAGGCGGCCAACCUUGCCCGCUGCCUUUGGGGCGCCCAGCUGGGUGCCCUCGGGCGCUCCCACGACCUUGGGAAGGAAGACGCGCGGCUCGGCUCUCUCCUCUCUCUUACCCCCUCUUCUCUCUUUCCCCUUCCUUUUUCUUUUUCCUGCCUUUUCUUUUUCUCUUUCUUUAUAACUUCUGUGCCCCGCCCCGACCCCUAGAGAUGAGCCUGCCCUUUCCAACCUUUCCCUUUCCAACCUUUCCAGAGGAAAUUAUUAUCUGCUCUCGAGGCACUAAUCAAGUGACAGCUGCUCUGCCCGAGCUCCCCAUCCCCAUUCCUCCGCGCCCCCCACCCACCAACAAUGCCUUGGGAAACCCUGCUGCCAGUCUAGGCUGCUCAGUGUGACCUUGAUCGUCGCGAAGUGCUCGACAAAUGUCCUCACCUGUCUCCCAGGAAGAUGCGAAGGGAAGAUCACCUUGGGGGCUGUUCAGGUAUGAACAGCCCUCUUAGCCCGGCCCCACUCUCCAAACUGUCCUCACAGUUCCUGACCUGCCCCUCUUCUGGACCCAGAGAUUGUCUUGUCUGUGUGUAGACUGGCUGAUUCAGGAGGUCCCGAGGAGAGGUUGGCUUCUCAGCCUGGUUCAGGACUUGGUGACAUCAUCAAAGACCAAGGCACCUGUGACCCUGCAGUCCUCAUCAUGGUGGCUUUUCUUCCAAUGUUUGGAGCCUCACAGUCACAACAUGGCUGCUGUAUCCACCACAUCGCCUGCUAACACCACUCCAAAGCAGGAAAGGAAAGAAGAGGAUAAAGGGCCUCUCUCUUAUCAAACUUUCUCCAAAGCCCGCAGCAAGAAGGCUCUCCCUUACACCUCACAGGCCAGACUGGGACACGUGACCACCUUUAAAUAGUCCUUGACCAAGAGCGAGGUUGUAACCAUCAACUUAAAACAAUCCUGCUCCAUCUCCUGGGACAUGGCUGCCUGCAAAGCUUGGGGUUCUGUUAUUAAGAGAGAAGCUUAUGGGACUUCCCUGGCAGUCUAAUGGUUAAGACUCCACACGCCUGGUUCAGGGGGCACGGGUUCGAUCCCUCUUUGGGGAACUAAGAUCCUGCAUGGUGCAGCAAAAAAAAAAAAGAGAAAGUGAGGUGUCCGCCACAAGCACCUACGAUGUUCCACACAUGGAAGGAGGUGCUAGAACCACGGAAGUCAGCAAGACGUAACCAUUCAGGCCCUCCUGGAGCUGACCUCACGCCAGCAAGGGGAGCAGACAGUGAGGCAUUCGACAAAGACAGCAAGUUCCUUCUGUCAUUCAUUCAAGUAUUUAUUGAAGACCUACUGUGCGCCAGGCUGGGCUACAGCAGCGACUACAAUGGAUAAGGUUCCUUCCUUCCUGGUGUUUCCAGAUCAGAGCAGGAGGAGAAAAGCAAUAACCAGAUUAGCAAUCCAUCAAUAAACAAGCAAACAAAUCAACGGGAUCCUCUCAACUUUUCCAGAGUUGUUUGGUGGCACCUCCAGGCCUCUGCCUCAGGUCAGUGCCUGCCCAGGUCUCGCUACUCAGAUCAAGAGCUCGGUGCUCAUGUGAUCAGCGGGGACUCCCUUAGUCCAGGGCUGGCCGCCUCCCAGCUAAGCCUGGCACAGAGCAGCUCGCUGAACCAAACGUGACUAAGGAAUCACAAGCAAGGGGAGGUUUCCUUUUUCUCUCUCCCUGUUUUAGCCUGACCUCUCCUCCCUUCUUCCUCAUCACUUCCACCCCUCCCAUCCAGGAUGUUCAGCUAGAAGCCCCUUAGAUCCCUGUCUGUCUCCAGGGCAGGUCCUGACAUCAGCUCUAGCUGGGAAACAUUCACCAAAAGAACGGAGAGAACGGAGGAAGAAAAAAAUUUUUCAGUUUAGCAAGAAAAAAAGUGACGGUAAUAAUAGGGAAAUUCUCUCCUACAGGGACAACUUCAGAAUUUCUGUCACCGUGUACUUCGCGAAUAGUGGGAAAUACCGUUUCGUUUCUGUUGCAUAAGUCUCACGGUUGUGCAGAAGAAGUGAAUGCUGCUUGGAAACAUUUACACAGAGAGUUCCUUAUUCCCUAAUGAGACGCUCUCAGAUUCUGUGGGCUCAGGAUUUGGGCUUCCCUUGUAGCUCAGUUGGUAAAGAAUGUGCCUUCAAUGCAGGAGACCCUGUUCAGUUCCUGGGUCAGGAAGAUCCCCUGGAGAAGAAAAUGGCAAUCCACUCCUGUGUCCUUGCCUGGAGAAUCCCAUGGACAGAGGAACCUGGCAUGAGGUCACAAGAGUCGGACACGACUGAGCAACUAAACAACAGCCAACAGGAUUUGAAGACCACCCCUACUUCCCAAGCUCUGCUUUUUAAAAUGAUAAUAAUUAAGAGAAAGCAAGGGGUGGUUUUUUUAGUUUUAUUUACUCAUUUCUUUCUUUUUGGCUUUGCUGCGUCUUGGUUACUGCACGGGCUUUCCUCUAGUUGUGGCCAGCAGGGGCUACUCUUCCUUGAGGCACAC